CGCCGAGAAUCGUCCACGCUUGGCCUACUCUGUGGGAGGGCGUGGCUGAGAGGGCGGUCCUGGCUAAGAGACCCUGGCUGGGAGCUGACCACUACGUGAGAAAGUCUCCAGGCCUGGGCUAGUGGCCACCUUCCCUCCAUCUCAGGACCUAGGGCUCUCAUCCAUCUUGGACAGGUUGGUAUUAAUUUCUCUGCUUGGUAGUCCUGCUCCUUGAAGAUGUGCGAGUUCAAAACCCAGGGAAUAGAUUCUUCCCAGAAAGCUUUUACUCCACAUCCAGAGCUCUGGGCAGAUGGAAACCCAGACAGCCUAAGGAAAUGACCUUAAAGUACUGACAUGGGGGCAGAGGAGGCUACUACCCAGCCAAGAAAGCUCAGCGCACA